UACAGAGGGUGCGAGCGUUGUCCGGAAUCACUGGGCGUAAAGGGCGCGUAGGCGGUUGCUUAAGUCUGUGGUGAAAGCCCGGGGCUCAACCCCGGGUCUGCCGUGGAUACUGCGAGACUUGAGUGCUGUAGAGGCAGGUAGAAUAUCGGGUGUAGCGGUGGAAUGCGUAGAGAUCCGAUAGAAGACCGGUGGCGAAGGCGGCCUGCUGGGCAGUAACUGACACUGAGGCGCGACAGCGUGGGGAGCAAACAGG
rnacentral:rRNA from 1 species